rnacentral:rRNA from 1 species
CGAAAUGCAUUUAGGUGCAGCGUCACGUGUUUCUUGCCGGAGGUAGAGCACUGGAUAGCCGAUGGGCCCUACAAGGUUACUGACGUUAGCCAAACUCCGAAUGCCGGUAAGUGAGAGCGCAGCAGUGAGACUGCGGGGGAUAAGCUCCGUAGUCGAGAGGGAAACAGCCCAGACCAUCAGCUAAGGCCCCUAAGCGGUGACUAAGUGGAAAAGGAUGUGGAGU